AGAGUGGCGUGGACUUCUCAGGGAUGAUGUGACUUGAUGUGAUCCGAUGGGAUAGCAUGACAAUCAUGCUUGAGGUUCACCUGCUUGGUCGAUACCCAUGCCUUGAGAUCCCAACUCAUAAGCGGGGACCACAAUCGGUGGGAGGAUGAGAAUCUGGAGUCGAGAUUGGAUCCGAUAUGGGUCGGAGGAAGGAGACCCAGAAGUCGACUGAAUGAGCUUGUCGAGUGGUGCCACCGAGUCAUCCAUUCAGAUUAGCCGCUAAUCGGAGUGAGGUGAAGGAGAUCGAAAGCAAACCGAGAUGAGCAUUUCGCUUACUAGUAGUUUUAGGGCAGGUCGGUUAUGGGUUGAUGCCAUUAGUCCAGGUGAUAUUAAGUUCGGACUUAUAACGAGUUCGUUCUUCUGG
rnacentral:lncRNA from 1 species